UACGGAGGGUGCGAGCAUUAAUCGGAAUUAUUGGGCGUAAAGGGCGCGUAGGCGGGGAUGAAAGUCAGAUGUGAAAUCCCGGGGCUCAACCUCGGAACUGCAUUUGAAACUUCAUUUCUUGAGGGUAGGCGGAGAAAAUGGAAUUCCACAAGUAGCGGUGAAAUGCGUAGAUAUGUGGAAGAACAUCUGUGGCGAAGGCGGUUUUCUAGCUUACUCCUGACGCUGAGGCGCGAAAGCAAGGGGAUCAAACAGG
rnacentral:rRNA from 1 species